AUCAAUAUCUUUUAAAUGAAGCCAGUGAUUCCCAGUUCUCAGCACUAUGACCUGCCCCAGAUGGAGCUGCUCUAGAAAUGUUCUGCAGGCUUGCCACUCUUUGUGAAAUGCCUGAAGGUACUUUCUAUGCAGGCCUGGCUGCACUUCUUUUCUGAGGCCUGAUAGCACUUCCUCUUUAAGGCCACAUUGCACUUCCUCUGCAAUCUUAGUGCACAUGUGCAAUUCUUUAAGGCUUCUAAGCAGUGAUAAAGUUGCUGUUAGGAGUGUGAGUUGCCUCUUUUGCAGACGUCCUAAGGUUAAGCUUGCCUGCUCAGACUAAAGGUUUGCAAGCAUAGACGGGACUAUGGACUUUGAAAACACUAGGUUUCACUAAAGUUACUUGGAGUCAUCUCAAAGGUCAGGUUCUGUGGGCAACAAAGAAGAGUUGUGUACAGUGAAUGGGUGUGUGAUCUGGGGAGUGACUAACCAUUGCUGUUACAAGAUGUCACAAGAUGUGAAAACUCAAUUGGAAGCUCUCAGAGCGUGACAUGCCCAAGAGGCCAGUCCAAUCACUAUUUCUUUAUCCAGAGGCUUAGAUAAUGAUGCUAUGAUGUAUGUACAUGGAGAUAAUGAGACACUUUUUCUGGGUGGAAGGAUGUACCCAGUUAGAUUUAUCUGUUGAAGAGACAAAAGUAAUCACCAGAAUCCCCUUUCCCAUCCUCCCAUCCUACACUGUUUGCUCUUGAUGAGACUUGGGAGACAAGAGGUUUUUCUUAACUGUCAAAUUUGAACACUUUUUUGGGGGGGGCGUGGGGGGUUCAAGUGCUGUUUGUGUGUUGGGACCAAACAGUUGUCAAUAAACUUUAUGAGCAAGCAUC
rnacentral:lncRNA from 1 species